rnacentral:pre_miRNA from 1 species
UAUGUACUCUCUCCGUCCGGAAUUAGUUGACGCUCAAACAGAUGUAUCUAGACGUAUUUUAGUGCUAGAUACAUCCGUUUGAGCGUCAACUAAUUCUGGGCAGAGGAAGUAUAAC